UGGGGGCAGUGCUCGCCUGCUCUGCCCCACAGACUCCUGCAGGUUUUGGUCCCAGAGAUAAUAUCCAAAGGAUAGAGAAGGAGCGGGAAAGCAGAGAGAGAGCUUGAAGGAGGAAAUUGAAGCAGAACAUAAUCCAAAUCUAUUCAGAGAACACUUUGGUUCAGUGAGGACUUAAUCAAGAAUACUCAUUCUGUACAGGCCAGGCAGGACAUGGAUGAACCUGGAAACCAUCAUUCUCAGCAAACUGACACAAGAA